UGGGGGAUAUUGCACAAUGGGCGAAAGCCUGAUGCAGCGACGCCGCGUGGGGGAUGAAGGCUUUCGGGUUGUAAACCUCUUUCGCUAUCGAACAAGGCCCGCUUAGGGUGGGUUGAGGGUAGGUGGAGAAGAAGCGCCGGCUAACUACGUGCCAGCAGCCGCGGUAAUACGUAGGGCGCGAGCGUUGUCCGGAAUUAUUGGGCGUAAAGGGCUUGUAUGCGGCUUGUUGCGCCUGCUGUGAAAACGCGGGGCUUAACUUCGCGCGUGCAGUGGGUACAGGCAGGCUUGAGUGUGGUAGGGGUGACUGGAAUUCCAGGUGUAGCGGUGGAAUGCGCAGAUAUCUGGAGGAACACCGAUGGCGAAGGCAGGUCACUGGGCCAUUACUGACGCUGAGGAGCGAAAGCAUGGGUAGCGAACAGG
rnacentral:rRNA from 1 species